GUUCAGGGCUUAUUUAAAAAAUAUGAGAAAAGGUCAGGCUCCAGCACCAGGGCACAUGCCAGCACAUAACUGGGGCCGACUGUCUCCCACCGGCAGCCUUUUUAACUACUAGUGACAGGG